rnacentral:tRNA from 4 species
GGUGGAUUCAUCUAAGGGUUAGGAUACGUGCCUCUCACGCACGACAUAGGGGUUCGAAUCCCCUAUCCACUACAA